rnacentral:rRNA from 1 species
CAGUGGCGAACGGGUGAGUAACACGUUGGUGACCUGCCCCGAGGUGGGGAAUAGCUGUGGGAAACCACGGCUAAUACCCCGGAUGUUAAAGAGUUUAGACAUCUUUAACUAAAGUUCCGGCGCCUCGGGAGGGGCCUGCGGGCUAUCAGCUUGUUGGUGGAGUAACGGCCUACCAAGGCUAAGACGGCUAGGGGGCGUGAGAGCGCGAGCCCCCACAAUGGAACUGAGAAACGGUCCAUACUCCUACGGGAGGCAGCAGUGAGGAAUAUUGCACAAUGGGGGAAACCCUGAUGCAGCAACGCCGCGUGAACGAUGAAGGCCUUCGGGUUGUAAAGUUCUUUUAUGGGGGACGAUAGUGACGGUACCUCAGGAAUAAGUCCCGGCUAACUACGUGCCAGCAGCCGCGGUAAAACGUAGGGGGCGAGCGUUAUCCGGAUUUAUUGGGCGUAAAGCGCAAGUAGGCAGCGUUGUAAGUUGGACGUGAAAGCUCCCGGCUCAAGUGGGAGAGGUCGUUCAAAACUACAGUGCUCGAGGUUGGAAGAGGAGAGUAGAAUUCCCGGGGGUAGUGGUGGAAUGCGUAGAUAUCGGGAGGAAUACCAGUGGCGAAAGCGACUCUCUGGUCCACACCUGACGCUGAGGUGCGAAAGCGUGGGUAGCGAACGGGAUUAGAUACCCCGGUAGUCCACGCCGUGAACGAUGGAUACUAGGUGUAGGGGGUCACUGAAUCCCUCUGUGCCGUAGCAAACGCGUUAAGUAUCCCGCCUGGGGACUACGGCCGCAAGGUUAAAACUCAAAGGAAUUGACGGGGGCCCGCACAAGCAGCGGAGCGUGUGGUUUAAUUCGAUGAUACGCGAAGAACCUUACCUGGGCUGAACUACGUGGUAGUAGAGAAGCGAAAGCGGAUCGACCCUUCGGGGAGCCUCGAUAGGUGCUGCAUGGCUGUCGUCAGCUCGUGUCGUGAGAUGUUGGGUUAAGUCCCGCAACGAGCGCAACCCUUGUCGUUAGUUAUACGUGUCUAGCGAGACUGCCGGUAUCAAACCGGAGGCAGGUGGGGAUGACGUCAAGUCAGCAUGGUCUUUAUGUCCAGGGCUACACACACGCUACAAUGGCCGGUACAACAGGUUGCUAUACCGCGAG